AACGAACGCUGGCGGCAUGCCUAACACAUGCAAGUAGAACGAGACCUUCGGGUCUAGUGGCGCACGGGUGCGUAACGCGGGGGAACCUGCCCUUAGGUUCGGAAUAACUCCCCGAAAGGGGUGCUAAUACCGGAUAAUGUCUUCGGACCAAAGAUUUAUCGCCGUUGGAUGGGCCCGCGUUGGAUUAGCUAGUUGGUAGGGUAAAAGCCUACCAAGGCGACGAUCCAUAGCUGGACUGAGAGGAUGAUCAGCCACACUGGGACUGCGACACGGCCCAGACUCCUGCGGUAGGCGGCAGUGGGGACUAUUGGACAAUGGGCGAAAGCCUGGUCCUGCAAUGCCUCGUGAGUGAUGAAGGCCUUAGGGUUGUAAAGCUCUUUUACCCGGGAUGAUAUGACAGUACCGGGAGAAUAAGCGCCGGCUAACUCCGUG
rnacentral:rRNA from 1 species